AUGCUCUUCAAGCUCGACAUCAAGAAGGCGUUUGAUUUUGUUAGGUGGGAUUAUUUGAUGGACAUGCUCAAUCAUCAUGGCUUCCCUGCCCGCUUCCGAGGACGGAUCUCGGCCUUCCUCUCCUCGGCAUCUUCUCGGGUCUUGCUUAACGGGAUUGCCGGAGACCCGAUAAAGCAUGGUUGUGGCCUCCGUCUGGGUGACCCGCUGUCCCCUUUGCUUUUCGUGCUUGCCAUCGACCCGCUGCACCAUAUUCUAAGCAAGGCCGCUGAUCAAGGGAAGCUUCACCCUCUUGGUGGUCGACACACGGGCAUUCGAGCUUCACUCUACACCGAUGAUGCGGUGUUUUUCUGUGCCCCU
rnacentral:rRNA from 1 species